rnacentral:rRNA from 1 species
AGUUUGAUCAUGGCUCAGAACGAACGCUGGCGGCAUGCCUAACACAUGCAAGUCGAACGAGACCUUCGGGUCUAGUGGCGCACGGGUGCGUAACGCGUGGGAAUCUGCCCUUGGGUUCGGAAUAACAGUUAGAAAUGACUGCUAAUACCGGAUAAUGUCUUCGGACCAAAGAUUUAUCGCCCAGGGAUGAGCCCGCGUAGGAUUAGCUAGUUGGUGUGGUAAAGGCUCACCAAGGCGACGAUCCUUAGCUGGUCUGAGAGGAUGAUCAGCCACACUGGGACUGAGACACGGCCCAGACUCCUACGGGAGGCAGCAGUGGGAAUAUUGGACAAUGGGCGAAAGCCUGAUCCAGCAAUGCCGCGUGAGUGAUGAAGGCCUUAGGGUUGUAAAGCUCUUUACCCGGGAUGAUAAUGACAGUACCGGGAGAAUAAGCCCCGGCUAACUCCGUG